AUUAAAUUUACUCAUUUAGUUGAUGCAUUUCUCCAAAUUGACUUAUAAUGUUACAUUACUUACAGUUAUUUACCCAUUUAUACAACUGGAUAAUUUUUAGUGGAGGAAUUGAAAGUGAGUUGCUUGUGAGUACUUGAUCAAUGGUACUACAGAUGUAGAGGGCUUGGGAUUGAAGCCUGCCACCUUUGGGUUUAAAGGCAGCAGCUCUAACCACUACACUACCAGCCGCCCCUCCUUAGGCUUGAAUUUCUUUAAAUUGGCGAGUCCAGUGGGCAUUUGGAUCAGCUGAAUGCAAUGUGCUGGUUUUGUGCUUUCAGCAGAAACACUGUUGUAUCGGAAGACACCCAACUGUCCUACAGCUGUCAUCGUCAAAGAGGGCGGCGUGUGAGUGCUUAAGAAACUCCCAUUGACAAGGCCCUGUCCCUCCGUGCUGCGCUGCACUGCCACGGCUCUGACUCUUGAAUGCUGAUUCACUCCUGCCAGAGCUGCCGUUCUGUCUCCGAACUGUUAAAAAGGGACAGAUAAACCCAGUCUGCCCGGCAGCGUUUGUUUGUGUCGUCUAUUUAUGAUUUAUAAGUCAUUCGCAUUAUUAAUUAUUCAGCUUUGGAGUAUCUUCAUAAUGGCAGGAGCCGUUCAUUUACAUUUUGUUAUCAUGUCGCAUGGCAAAUCCACUUAGCAAUUUGAGAAAACAAAAGUAAUUCAUGCUACUAUUAGCAAUCAGACUGACUUCAAGGAGUGGGAAUAGACAGCCCCUCUGCUGUCAUCCAGGAAGUGCACCUGGGGGGACAGUUUUCAGUCCGAGUUCCAGCGAGGGAGGUUGGGCCUUACCCCACUGCGGAUACCUGCCUUCCGCAGGCCCCCAGGUCUUCAAAAGGAGCCAAAAAGUCUGUGUCAGCCCACAUACCCUGGAGCCUGAAGACAUGUUGGGCCUCACCUACGCCUUGUUUGAGGACAUGGUUGCCAUGACUUUGGUGUCAGUUGGAGGUGAAUGGAUCCUCAAAGACAUUUCCAAAGACAAACACAGACAUAGGCACCUGAGUACAGCAACCAAACAGUCAUUCCAAGAUGGUUCUGAGCCCCGUUCAGAACAGAUGGGCUGAGAGAGACCCUGCUAACCGGGUCGACUUAAGAAAACCUUUGCUCGGCAUUUGACAAGCGAUGCACACCCGCCGGGAUAAAUCUGCCGAUAAAUGAGAGCGGGUGCUGGGACACGCUCAGACUGGAAGGGGAAGAGAAAACAACAGGGGACACGGUGCUGUUGACAUGCAGCGGUUCAGGGACAUUAUUCUCCUGGGCUCAGAACAUCUGUGGUAAUAAAGGUAAAAGAAAUCUAUUGUGUGGCUGUGGG
ensembl:lncRNA